rnacentral:rRNA from 1 species
GACGGUACCUAACCAGAAAGCCACGGCUAACUACGUGCCAGCAGCCGCGGUAAUACGUAGGUGGCAAGCGUUGUCCGGAAUUAUUGGGCGUAAAGGGCUCGCAGGCGGUUUCUUAAGUCUGAUGUGAAAGCCCCCGGCUCAACCGGGGAGGGUCAUUGGAAACUGGGAAACUUGAGUGCAGAAGAGGAGAGUGGAAUUCCACGUGUAGCGGUGAAAUGCGUAGAGAUGUGGAGGAACACCAGUGGCGAAGGCGACUCUCUGGUCUGUAACUGACGCUGAGGAGCGAAAGCGUGGGGAGCGAACAGGAUUAGAUACCCUGGUAGUCCACGCCGUAAACGAUGAGUGCUAAGUG